CAGCCCGAUUUUAAAGAUUGGAUUAGCCGACAUAAUUCAGACACUAACAAGGCUUAUUGCAAAUACUGCAAAUGCAGUAUUAACUGUAAAACUGACCAAAUAAGAGCGCACAUGACGACAAAAAAACAUCUGCAAAAUACGUCAAGUUUAGUGAAACAAAGUAAAAUUUGUUUCGAGCCGGUCAAAUCUUCAAAAAACUUGUCGCCAAGAAGCUGCGAUAGCUAUAUAUGUAUGUUUAUAGCCCAGCAUUGUACUAUUGAGCCGUUUGGCCACCUAAGUGAAUUUGUAAAAACACAUUUUGACGCCAAGAAGGUUAAAUUGCACAGAACCAAGUGCACUAACCUUAUUAAAAAUGUAGUGACAGGGAAACGAAAAGUUCAGUCUGUUAAUUGACGAGUCUACUGAUAUAAGUAUAACCAGCAUCUAGGUGUUGCUAUAAUAUACUACAGCGCUCAAUUCGAGAAAAUUCAAUCGACGUUCCUUUCACUUGUUUCAAUUGAAAGUGGAGUCGCACCCAACAUUACCAAGAGCCUCCUGGAUGAACUGUCUCGCCUUAAAAAUUCCCGUAUCAAACUUGAUAGGAAUCGGCACUGAUAACUCCAGUUUGAUGUAAAAAUAUAACCUAUAUAACAUCACAAGGAUCCUCUUAAAAUCACCAGAGUCGCUGACACAAGAUGGCUGUCUAUUGAAAACGCAGUCAAACGUAUAAUAACUCAAUGGAUUGAACUGAAAGUGCAUUUUCAAACUGCAGCGUUGGUAAAAAAAUGACACAAAUCACAUAUAUUGACUGAUUUAUAAAAUGACGUCAAUUAUUUAUAUUUGCUAUUUUUGAAGCUGAUUCUUGACGAAUGUCAAGAAUGUUCUAAAGCAAGGACGCCGACGCAACCAUAUUACUUGGCGAUUUUAUUGUGAACAUUAAUUUCCUCAAAUCGAAAAUAAUACCGUCCGAAGUUGAUGUUAACGUUCUCGAGGAAGAAUUUGAAGAACAUAUAAAACGAGACUUAUAUUUGGGAUAUGAAUUUGAAUCCGAUUUGUCAAGUUUAAAAGGGAAAAUUGAUGAUGAAACAGAGGUAAUAAUUCGGCGUACCUGUACAGAUUUUGUGAUCAAAUUGAUUAAUCAAUUGAAGCAGAGGUAAAUAUAUUAUUUGAUAUAAAUUUUAUUUUUUAAGUACAAAAAAAAUUUGGAUGUGUUUUAAAUUGGCGGACAAUUAUUCCACAUUAAAACAAAUAGACGCAUUUUCGGUAGAUCGCAUUUUGAAGUCCAAAAAUGACUCAAUUCUGCCUAUUUUAGAUAUAUUUUCAAUACAUUCGGAGAUUAAAAGCAAAAUAAUUUCACAAUAUUCCAAUAUUCACCUUAUAAAUUGCAAAAAUAUUGAAAACACAUCAAAAUUUUGGUCAGAAGUGAAGAGGUAUCGGGAUUCUGCAGGUAACAACCCAUAUGAAGACCUGGUUAAUUUUGCUCUCAGCCUGCUUUCAUUGCCAUGGUCAAAUGCUGAGGUAGAGAGAGUAUUUAACCAAGUAAAUAUAUAAAUAUUUUCAAAAUUUUACCACUUAUAAAUACAUGCAUUCUUUCUUCAGAUUUGGAUUGCGUCGGCAUCAAUUAUGUUGUCAUAAUUAUAACUUGUCUGAAAAGUAUCUCCAAUUAAUUGGCUCCAUGGCUACCUAUGAGGACAACAAAACUGACCACGGAAAAAUAAUCGAAGAUGCCUUAAAACUAUUAUCUUAAUAAUAAAAAAUAAAAUUACUGUAAACAAACUUUUUGUCCUUUUUCUAUCCCUUUUAUACUAUUUUCAUCAUUUUUUUCAUGUUUUUUUCUCAAUCUGUCCUUUUUUUUGAAAUCAUAUUGGCAUCACUGGUCCCAAAGUGCGAGAGCGAUCAGCUGAUCCCCAGUAAACUUAACACAUGGUUCAUGGCAAGUUUUGUUUGUUGUUUUGAACAAAAAUUUUAAGUGGGCAAUAUUUGUGCCGAUUAUGAGCCACUUGAAAUUCGGCUUAAGCCCACUAUAUACAUGGAUUCGAGUGUUUGAGUUUAUACUGCAUGCUGGCUACAUAUAUGGAGUUCAGAAGUGGAGGAUUUCAUGGGAGAGAGAUAGACGGGUUUUUUCUCAACGGGAAAAAGAGAUAUAAGCCAUAUUUUGGAAUCGUCUUUCUUUUAAUGUGGAUAAACCAAAAGCUGAAGGGUUUGGCAGUACAAAUGAUGCGAACACUGCACG